UGUACCAAGGAAGGAAUUAAGAAUAGAAAUUAUAUGUAUUCUAAUGUUUUCUUUUUGCUGUGUCUUGAGACUACAGCCAUUCUUGCAUGGCAUUGGCAUGUGGGCUGUUCCUCAAGUAUCCAGUGAGGGUUAUAUUCAUGUAAUAGCUCUGUGAAUUCUGAUACCCAAUUAUUUUUCAUGGUGGGAUAGUAGGUUGAUAGAGGAAAGAACUAUAGGAAUUUCUACACACAGCAAACUGAUCCCUAUUGCAAAAAGCAUCACUCCUAGGAUGUGAGGGUCAGUGCUCCCCACAAAACACUUUCUGCAGCAUACAGUUCCUCAACCCUUGGUGGCAUUACUCUUUGGAAAGCAAAACUUACGCAUUUUUCUCUCACUGUCCAGUGAAUUGCACAGUUUUUCUACUUUGAGUCCUCAGUGUAUUGAUGGGACUGGCCCUGCCUCUUGUGGUCCUGAUUCAUGUGCUGGAUUUUGUUAGCAUUCUCCUUCAAGAUUAAGUCUUUGUCUGGAGCCUAGUUAACUAUGUAACUAUCAUCCAAAGUCUGUUCAAGUUGUGUGAUGAACACUUAAAUCUCAACUCGAGUGGAGUGGUGGUGGCACAUUUGAAUCCCAGCAUUCGAGGGGCAGGGACAGGUGAGUUUAAGGCCAGCCUGGUCUAUAAAGCAAGUUCUGGGACUGCUAGAUCUGUUAAACAGAGAAACCCUAUCUCAAAACAUCAAAAAACAAAUCAAAACAAAAAAAUCCAACCAACAAAGCAGAUAAACCAAACCUCUACUCGGAUAAAAUCUGUUUACAGUAUGGUGCCUUCAGUAGUCACCCGUUAUGUAAAAGCCAGGGUUUGACAAAGCAGGGCUUCAGAUAAUAACCUUGAUUUUUAUGUGUCAUGGAAACCUGGCUCCUCUUCCCCUGAAGAUCACUGAGUUCUGAGAGUGAGUACUGACAUUGGUGAUGUUGUUACUGGUGUUAUUCAGAUAGCCAGAGGCUGGACACAACAUUAAUUGCAAAUUAUAGCCUCAACAUAAAACCAAUGAACUUGGGUGAGCUUUUAAUUUCUGUGCCUUGUCACUUUGAUUCAUACUGCAUCUUUCUUUUUAACUGCUGCCAUGAACCCCAUGUGCAUUUCUCUGCAGUAUAUUUUUUUCCAUGGCAUUUGCAGACAGUCAUGAGAGUCAAGCAGUAUAGGACCCAGCAGGGUAUGUGUUGUUGCGCCAUUAAUUGCAUGCCUGUGUGCCUUGUGAGGAAGGAGGCCAGAGGCAGAUUGUCUUUUACCCCCUGAGAAGUAUGAUAAUAGCUUGACAGUGCACUUCCUUGAGUAUUUCUCAGUGAUUAUAAAAUACAAGUGAAGAGACUUGUUGCAAAGAAAAAAAAUGAGAAGUAUCUUUAAAUUGCCUUUGAGAUUAAGAGCAUCAAGCGUGGUUAGUGCAUUGGCACUGGAUGGUGUGGGAGGAGGGUGGGUACUUAUUUUUGCUUUCUCAGACACCAGGACUGAGAGUUCUAUUGAGUUUUUAGGUUCAAGCGUGAGUCUGAACAUGGCAUUGGGUGUUGAAAGGCUCACGGGCAAUGCGGGAGAUUUGAGAGUAAUAACCUGGUUAUUCUUUAACGUAGUCAGAGUUUCACCUGCUCAUGAGCACUUUAUUUCCUCCUAUCUGUGUGAAAUUUCUUAUUCAAAACAAGAAAAUGUUGCCGCUGUGAAAGAAACACAAAGGUCUCUUGAGCAGAGCUGGGGGCCUCUGAUCUACCACUUCUUUUUUGUCCUUUGACUCUAACAUCACUUAGCCAUUGGGGGCUUUUCCUUUCCACAUGUAAAAUAAUACAUAUUUUUGGAUUCCUGCGGUUUCUUUAUAGAGUGCAAGCUUGUAUUGGCUUGUUUCUGGCCCCUUGCUAUACAGAUCCUAGUGGCUCUUACCAUCCUUUUUUUCCUGUGAUGGAUUUAAAACAAACAAACAACAACAAUGAAAUCAUUAGAUGCUUCCUUAUCUGGCACAGUGGUUCAUGUCACUAAUCCCAGAUAGAGUGGGAUAGGGGCAUCAGGAGUUCAAGAUCACUCCUUGGCUCUAUAUCAAGUUUCAGACCACUGAGGCUAUGAGAGAUCCAGCCUCAACAGAAAACAAACAAUAAAAUAUAGUUUAAAAUAAAAGUCACCUGAUCUCCAAAUUCAGGUGCUAUAGAAAAGAAAUCUAUUAGUCUGUCUUUGUUCCUUUUCCACAAGGCUCUUGAUGAAUGUGAUAAACUAUUGACGUGACAUCCUAGUGUUCUUAAUGUUUUAAUUGCAAGAGAAGGAUGCUAAUUCUCCAGGGCUGGCUCUCUAUGAAGUGUGUAUUUAUGGAAAGUGAACAUCAACAAGCAGAAUGAGGUGUGAGUGUGUUGGGGAGCCAUUAGGGGAGUGCUUGUGGUGGCAUCUCAUUAAAUAAAUAGCAAGUUAAGUUUUCUUUCCACCUUGGAUGUUAAAGUGGAGUUUGAAAACAGCUAACAGAAAAAAGCUAAAUGCUUGAGGGAUUUAUUGUAAGACUCAAUAGUGCCAUUAAUUUCCAUGUACGCUUUAAAUUGCUGGGGUGAAAUAAUGUAUUCAGCAAAGAAGCAAGUUCCUGCUUCCUCCCAUGAGUCUCCUUGAUUGUGCAAUUGGUAUCUCAUUCUUUAAUUAAACUUGUCCAAAGAUAGGAUCAGCUAAAGUGUUUACUGUAUAAAUAGUUUUCAUUCCCAGUGUGCAAGCUUAAAACCGUGGUAGAAGGAGUUUGCCAUCUGUUAAAAACCAAAACAUGUGGUGUGCUGUUGCAUAAAAAUAAACCACACAUUAUUCAUAUAAAGGAUCACAGUUUAAUAUAUCUUUGGGGAUGACAAUAGUAUGUGAUAUUUUGGAAUGUCACCACCUUCUCUCUAAAUGACAGUAUGUUUACCAAUGCAUUACAAUAAACAACAUAACUGCGUAUAAACAUAGGAAAUUGAAUUUUAUUUUCAAUACUUUUUUCUUUCUCUUAACAUUUGGUCAUUUCAUUUACACCAGGAAUUUAUUCGUUCCUCUACCUUCACUGCCAUCCUUUUGGCCCUGUGAUUUCACCUGUGGUCAUCAUAUCUCAAAAAAUCUGCCUAUCACAUUAUUCGUGCUUAUGUAUGUACCAGAAAACUUCAAACUAGCCCUUAUGGUCACCCACUAAAGCCAUAGUAACACCAUAGUGUCUGCAGAGCAGUCUUCCUUCUUAAAGACAUUGUCAGAGAAUCACAUCAUCUGGUGGCUUCAGGCUGCCGUGUAGCCAUGGAUCUCACUCUCCCUGUCUCAGCACCCCGGAAACUCCUCUGUGGUGUCUCUGACUUCUUGAACUUUCCUUCGUUCUAUUCCUACCUCUGCACUGUCCUAUUGCUUUGGAAUCAACUUUCCUCCAUCAUGCAUCCCAAAUUAGAUCUGUGUUUCAUGACUCCAAACAUCAGAUUCUUCCUAAAUUCCUUUUGCACCAACCCAAGUAGAAGCAACUCUUUGUGUUCCCUAGGCACAUUGUAGCUCUUGUUUUGACUCAGUUUUCAGCUUGCUCUACUACUUAUUUCAUACCCCCCAUUUUCUGAAUCAUUUGGGUUUGUGUUUAUAUUUGAACAGGUUUUGAAUCUAUUACCCUAACUAUCAUGAGGCAAGACCUCAGUAAAUAUGUAUCAAAGCGCUUUGGAGCUACUGUUUGCAUGGCUUUGAAUAUGCCAUGGCCUGUAUUGGAAUUGCCCACCACACAGCAGUGGGUACUGGUGUUUAAACUGAUUUGACAACUCAGUCAUUUCUGACAGGAUUGUGUGAGGAGUUUCGACACUUUAGACAGAACCAAUAUCACAGUCUUAGGACUGAUUUUAGAUCUCACUUCAAAAGAUAAACAAUAUAUAAGUUCUUAAGAUUAAAUAUGGAAACCUAAAUACUACAUAGGGAAAGUGCUCAAAUGUGUUAUUAAGAAUUAGUCUUUCUUUCCUUUAAAGAUUUAUUUUUAAUUAUGGUGUGUGUGUGUGUGUGUGUAUGUGUGUGUGUACAUGAGUGCAGAUACCCAUGGAGGGCAGAAGAGUUGAAUCCCUUGCUGCUGGAGGUACAAGAGCAAUAUAUGUUCUUAACUGUUGAGCCAUCUCUCCAGCCCCUCAGAAUUAUUCUAAAUUUUAAAAUAUAAUUUUAUUGUAAUUAUGUUUUACAUAUUAUUAUAAUUUUAUUGAUAUAUAGGUGACAGAGAAACUGACUAAAUGCAAUCUGAAAUUUUGACAUGUAUCAAAGGAAGGAAGUUACCACCAUUAAGAAAAUACCCAUAUUCACAGACCCAGAAGUUUCCCUGUGCUCUUCUCUUCUCCACACCCCAGGCAGCCACUGCUCCAUCCUCUACAUGACAUGUAGCCACUGGUUCAUCCUCCACACCCCUGGCAGCCACUGCUCCACCCGAUCCCUGUGCAUUCACUUCCAUUACCCAGGAGUCUGAGUUAGGGGAAUUACAGAGUGUGCAGUACUUGAGGUAGAGCUUCACUGAGCAACUAUUUUGAGAUCCAUGUAACAGCAUGCAGUAACAGCUUAUUUUUUUUUUUUACUUUGCCACUUUGUAAUGAGAGCAAUUAAAUUACAGAAAUUCUAUCAAAUGCAGAUGCCCAGUCUUGUAUAUUGCAACCUUCAGCAGUAUAUGAUAAAAUAAACUACUAGUUUAAAAAUUUCAUCAUCUCAAACCUUCCAUUACAAUAAUAAAAGAUGGAUUAAGACAAUAUAGGUAAAACUUUGUAGGGGUGGAUAAGUAGAUAUAGGUUAGCUCUGGCUUUGAAAAAAAAUCAACAAAUAAAACAAAAUUCAGAAAACUAAAAUAUAAAAAGGCACAAAGUAGUAACAGGUGAUGGAAACAUCUUGUUAACUGGAUUCCUGGAUUGUCUUUAAGUAAACAGUUAUAUUAAAAAUUCACUACACUUUCUUAGUCUUACAUACAAAUAAGCACAAUUAUAAUAAAACUUAUAAUAAAAACUUAUAAUAAAACAAAAAAUAAAUAAUAUUAAAAUCCUAAGAAUUCCCUAUAUGCUUCUAGCAAUGAAGUAUCAAAUUUUCUAACUUUUAGUUUUUUAGUUGCAGGAAGUACAGGAAUGAAAAGAAAUGAUAAAGUGGCAGUUUACUGAACUGCUGAACCUUUACAGGGAUGAAAAUACAAUCAUUAAAUUAUUCAACAUUUCUUACUCAAGUAUCACUUUAACCAUUCUAUGGGAAGUAUGCCUGUAUCAUAUUCAGGGUGGAGUUGUGUUUCCUAAGCUCUUUUCUUUUCCUUCUUCCAUCAUUUCUUGCAGAGCAAGCAUCAGGAUGGAUCAAUAAUGUCUGGAACAUACCUAAUAUGGUCCAACACUGGGCUUCUAUGCAGAAGCUUGUCACCCUCUGGAUUUACAGUGAUGUGUUGCUGUUAUUGGGGAUUGUUCUAGAAAUGCCCGUUAAGUCAAGUUGCUUCAUUUUGCUGCUCAUGUCUUCUGUAUUCUUAUGAACAUUAUUAUUUUUCUUGUUCCAUCCUGUCCUCAAUCAUGAAUUAUCAAAUUAUCUAAUGGGCUUGCAGGUUUUUAUAAUCUUCUUAUAGUUCUGUCAGUAUUAAUCCAUAUAUUUCUUAGCUCUGUUACUAUAUGCAUAAUAAACACUUAGAUUAUCAUA